UACGUAGGUGGCGAGCGUUGUCCGGAUUUACUGGGCGUAAAGGGAGCGUAGGCGGACUUUUAAGUGAGAUGUGAAAUACCCGGGCUCAACUUGGGUGCUGCAUUUCAAACUGGAAGUCUAGAGUGCAGGAGAGGAGAAUGGGAUUCCUAGUGUAGCGGUGAAAUGCGUAGAGAUUAGGAAGAACACCAGUGGCGAAGGCGAUUCUCUGGACUGUAACUGACGCUGAGGCUCGAAAGCGUGGGGAGCAAACAGGAUUAGAUACCCCGUA
rnacentral:rRNA from 1 species